UGAAGAGAAAGCAUAAUGCAGAUACAGGCCAUGCAGGCAGUGUGCCUUGCUGGAGGAUGUCACAAUAUAGUCGGAGGCCUGUGCAACCUGAAAACACUCUUGUCAAGAGGCAGAGAAAUGCAGAUCUGUGACUCUACCCCAGAGAGGUGAUGGCUGAGGAGCCUAGAGUGGAUGCCCUUGUUGAACCACAGAGGGGGAAUACAGGUUGUAUCCAGAUAUGAAAGUAAGGUUGUAAUCAUUUCAAGGAGUCCUGAGUCACUAGUUUUUGACAACAGGGUAAAUAGUAACAAGGACAACAAACUUGGAGCAAGACUUCUUUAUGCGUACUGGCUUGUAAUGCUGGAAACAAAUCUGCAUGUACAAGCAAAAGGACGCAACAGAUCCCUAAUAAAAUGACAGCAUGGA